GUUCAAGAGUGUAGACACAUGGCCUGAACCUGAAUGCAGAAGCUUUUUCUUCAUCUCAGACAUCAACCCUAAAUUCUCUAGGUAGAGAAGAGUUACGAGAUAUACCUGGACAGCCUAUAAACCUGAAGUCUUGGUCUUUUCAACCGAGACUUUCCAUUGCAAGCAAAGAUCGGUUUGGGAUGGAAUGGGAAGUGGUAAUAAUGGCAGUUUGGACUGAAUAUUGCACGGGGAAGCUAUGGGGAGGCUAUGCACAUGUUGAUGGGCUCUCCAGAGACAUCCAAUGAGAUGGAAGGAUUGAUCGGAUGUCAAGAUAGAUUUGUGUUUUGAGUAGAACCUGAGAUGCACGUGCUCAUCUAUUUAAAGGAUGAUGAAUGAUCCUGUUGCAUUCCUGUGGGGUAUAGAGUUGUAAGUUACUGAUAAGAACAGUUUCACUUGGCAUGAAAACAGCAAGACGUCUGAUGUUAGAAAGUGAAAGCAGCAUGCAAUCCAUUGUUCUUUCUAUGUAUGUGAAUUAAAAUGCUUCGAGUCACUUUCUUUUUGCAA